GCUGAGGUGGCAGAGCUGGGCAAUUGCCCCUGACUGUAAAUCAGGUGCCUUAUAAGGCUACGGAGGUUCGAAUCCUCCCCUCAGCA
rfam:Candidatus Gottesmanbacteria bacterium RIFCSPLOWO2_01_FTLL_48_11 rifcsplowo2_01_scaffold_29064, whole genome shotgun sequence.